rnacentral:lncRNA from 1 species
CCACCUCUCACUUCCCCACUUCUUUUUACAACCAAGAGUCUACACAUAAAACAUUUUCACCCAUCCUUUCCAUCAGACAUUUGUGAUUUAAGCUUCAAGAGACUGGGGAAUAAUGCUCCUCUCUUGCUAUUUCAAUAGCCUUCUUAGUAAGUUUCCAUGUUUAUGUCCAGAUUGGAUGUUGUCCUAUAGCAGUGAUGAUGCUGUAAUUUGAAAAGAAUUCUGACUGCCCCUCAACUGUUGUUUUUCUGCAACACACCGUGACUUGUGCAGAAUGCUAACUUCUCCUGCUCUCCUCACCCAAGGGGUAAUACCAUCUUAUUGAACUCUUUGCAACCUGUCCUGGAAAGCCAAAUCCACAAUGCCUUCACCUGCUCCAAAGGCCCUCCUUCCAUCUUGCCAAGUCCUGACAUAUAAACAUUGGAGUUUCAGCAAUUCUACUGCCUUAGAACAGCUCCCACUGAUAAUGACAUAAUGCCACAGACUGGACAAGCUUCCGUAGAAAAUAGGUCUAUUUGGAGCUCAUGGACCUGAAAGACAAGGUUGUGAAUCCACAGUUGAUGACGGCCUUCUUUCUGGUAGAAUCAAAGUCAAUAUCAAGCGUGGUGGUUAACCUGCGUUGCCAGACUUGAUUGAGUGGAGAAAUGCCUACAAAAUUGCCAAGUCACUUGUCAAGAAUCUAAAACACAUGGCAAAGCAUGCUUUCCUGGAUAAAGCGACUCUUAUCUGCAAUGUGAUCAAAGCUGAACACACCUAGCACAUGAAAAUAUAGAAUAAAGAGAUAUUUGGUCUGGUUCUGACAGGAUCUCAUUCUCUACCACAUAGUCAACAAAACUCUGAGGUGGUCCUUAAGGCCUUCAAACAAGAUGGGUAUUGAAAGAAAAAGCCUCCAGUCCAAGUCAACUUGAUGAGUGAGUGUCUGGGUCUUCUACAGAACAUGCAAGUCAUUUUGUGUCUACCUCACAUAGUAAUAAUGUGGACAACACAAGAACAACAACCAAAUGCACAGUAAACUUAUAACCAAUUGCAAAGCUGCAUGUUGAUUUCCAGUGAGAGCAUACUGUUAUACAAACAAUUGGCACUUUAUAAAAUUCUGUUCUUCUUGGGCCGCCUGCAUGUGGGAAACAGUUUUGUAGCCCGGACUGUUUGUGAAGACCCUGACAGUGGGAGUGGGAUCUAUCCCCAGUGCAUGAGCUGGCUUUUUGAAGCCCACUCCAUACAGUGGAAUGUCUUGCUGAGCCUUAAGCGGGGGAGGGGGCUUGGUCCUGCCUCAACUGAAUGAGCCAGGUGUGGUUAACUCCCCAUGGGAAGCCUUACCCUUUCUGAGGAGUAGAUGGGGUGGGCUGAGGGAAAGUGGGGGGAGGGGAAGGAAGGGAGGGAACUGUGG